CUCACGAAAGCUUAUGCUCAAAUAAAUUUGUUAGUCUCUAAGGUGCCACAAGUACUCCUCUUUUUUUUUUAAGUAUAGACAGUAGACAAGUCAAACUGACAUUUAAAAUAGGAUUUUUGUGCAAGGAGGGGAAACACGUCCAGCAUAUUGUGCUUCCUUUGACAAGCUCUGCGUGUAGCCUCACUGGCAUUCAGUAGUCUAGACAAAAAUCAAUAUAAGCACUGACAGUCAGGCUACAUCUUACCAGUUUGGGUCCGAUUUGUAAUUGUAUAAAUAGCAUUCAACCUUUGGAUUUAGUAAAGGAAUUUAUGGUUAAAUUAGUGUCAUGCUACUUCCCUGCAUAAAUAUUAAUGCCAUCAUUGGUUAAAACUCUGGAACCAUUUCCAAUUUAUAGCAUACGGAGGCUCAGAUGGUUGAGUAGUGAAACCUUUGACGUCUCUGUGCAGAACACAGAGUAUCAGCCAUGUUUAACAAAUAUACCCCUUUCAUGCCACUAAAUAUUCUUGAUAAAAUUUGCUAUUCCAUUGAAAAUGGUCACAAGGGCAGAAGCAUUUCUGAUCAACGGUGGGAUUAAUUGGAAGCACAACAAAUAGUUCGUCCUUCAUUUUUUCACUAAACCUCUAAUACUUUAAAUAUAAAAGGCACUUGGGCUUUUCAGCUGUUAGUUUUUCCCUUAAGAAAGCUGUUGUCACACCAUCACUAGCACUUUAAAAUGACAAAGUAAAUAACAGAUCGGGAAUGAAAGUUAAAUUCAUGGCAGGAAUGUCUGUCAGCAUUACUGUAGUAUGGGAAUAGACUCUUAGAUCUGGACUAUUGUACAGUAGAAAUUAAAAACAACACAUGAACCAUGAGGUCACAUCUGAUUCAUUUCUAAAUCACUGACACAUAUAUAAUUUAAUUUAAAAAGUGAAGUUCAGACUUGUCCUUACAUUGCAAAAUGGUAUUACUCUGGUCAAGAGAGGCAAUAAAAACAAUCACUGAAUUCCUAGCAUUAAUAUUCAAAGAAGGCACUUUGCUGUGAAGUUAAUACAUUCACUUUGAUCUGUUACAGUCAUUCUGAAACAUCAUUGUGUGCUACCUUGUGAUCUGGUCUUGUCCACUGAAUUUGGGUAUCAUCAACUUUCAGUUUUCCUAUAAUGAUUCAUUACACAGAUACAUUGAGUGGAUAUCCAGGAGCAUUUCACAGUUUGAAGGUAGUGGAAACACCAGAAUUUUGCAUCCAUGUCAGUUUCCCCAUGUGGGGGAAGGGGGCACAGUGCAGGGGUUAGGUAAAGUGCUUGGGGCACAAGAGGGGGUGGCACCAGGGGCAAUGCGGAGGCACUAUACCCAUGAGGGCCGGGGCACCAAAAUACAAGUUCGCCCAGGGUGUCAUUUUCCUUAAGACCAGCCCUGUUCAUUCUCACAGAAACCACCACUAGCACUACUUGUCCCUCCUUGCUGACCAGAUUGAGUGAAUGAGAGACUGACCGUUCCUGUGUUCAGGGUUCAGGCAUGGGGCAGCACUAGAGGCUGCUGCCUGUCAAGUACUCUUAGGGACUGACAGUGACAGGGCCUGUGGCAUCUCCCCGACACUACAUUUACCCUAGAAAAAAUUUCUAAAUUACCUUUGUAAAAUCUCAACUCUUUUUGUCCUGGUUUUCAAUGGUUUGUAAAUCCUCUAGGUUUUCUUCAGUACGCCCCUUGUCUGGCCUCUUUUUCUAGGGCUCUUCCUGGCCUAGGAUAUAAAUUAUGCUUUGGAAAUAUGUUAUUCCCCAUUUUAUUCCCCAUCCCUAGUAACAAGCUUUUUCCUCAUCAGCUCUUGGGUUUGCCUUGUAAGUAAUACUCAGAACACUGUUACAGCCAAGAAUGAAACAGAUUGGUAACGAGUAGGUAGUGAUAGCGUCAUGCCAUCUUGUGGGAUAUGAUAGUUACAGCAACAUUGCAAUAGCAUAAAUGACCUUCAGGCUGCAUCCCCAGUGAAAUGUUAGCAUAAUUGGUACACCCUUUGGCCAUGCAGGACUUAAUUGGAAUACUUUACUUUCUAGUGCAGAAGGCGUAUGUGUUAACUUUUGAUCUUUGUAAAACAAAGUAUUAUAUUUAAAAAAUAAGUACAAUAAAUACCUAGUCAUUGCCCUAUCUCCCUGAAAGGGUGGGAAGGCUUGCAACUUGGGGAUCAGCUUACAUAUAGUUAGAUAGCACAUUUAUUUCAAAGUAGUUUUGAAUGCUGCAGUAUUAGAAUGCUCUGUGCAGUGCAGGCUAAUGUUUAACUUAAAAACAACAUUCAGUGCUUAAAGGUGAAUAAUUCCGUUACCUGAUUAAAACAAAGCCACAUGAGUGAGCAGAAUCAAAUAAAGUGUUUUAGCCUGUGGCUAACAGUUUGAACUCUCAGCUUCCAAAUGGAACUGGAAGUAAGAUGGGCACCAGACCAUCUCCCAGAUUCAGCCCCACUGCUGCUCAAACAACAGCCUCACAUCUUUCCUCUGCUGGGCUUUUUCUUAGAUUCCCUACACUGACUGGGUUUAUUCAUUGAUGGAGAUAAAACAUUGGCACAGGGGCGUUCCCUGUGGAAGGUUAGCACGACCAGGGCAUCACUGAAAUGACCCAUUGGCUGCUAGCAUGAAACAGAACAGCCCUGCAGGUACUCUAAUUUAUGUUGGGUGUGGCCCAGUGGCCAGACAGCCCAAGGACUGGGGGGAUGCAGAGGUGAUUUAAAGCCAGUUUUGUACCCCUCAAGAUCCACAGUGCACCCUGCCUACGACUCAGGAUCUGGGUCAGUCUGUGUGCACCAGGCACAGCUUUGAUAGCAUCAUGACAAAAGUUCCUGGCUUUUCCUGAGGAUUUAUGGCAGCAUAUUUGUGGCACUUGCAUGCAACACAAGCUCAGAAUGUUUCUGGAGUAGGAGGUCUAAACAAUAAAACCCCAUGUAACUGUAAAGGCAGAACAUUCUCUCUAAAUGGUUUUGCAGAGAGCCUGGAACAUACUAUACAAAAUGUUUACCAAAGAGAAAAGGGGUUUUCUGCAAAUGAAAGCAGUGGGAGCUAGUUUAAUCCCCGUGUAAGUACAAGAGAAUCCAUCAGGGUAUGCUCCUCCAGUGACAUCUCUGCCUUGAGUCAUAGGCCUGUGGCAGGGGAAAGGCCUCUGUCAAUGCACUGAAGACUUGUGCAGAUUUUACAUCGUAAUAGAACAUUGCUUAAGGUUGGAAGCAACCUCUUACGCAGUAAGGAUUCCUUACACAGUACUGAACUCUGUCAAUCUCUGCCCAGGUGAACACAUGCUUGGAUGUGUGACCAGGACACAGGCAACAUCUUCUUGACUAACUUGUCAACGUGAUAGAUGGCAAAAGGAUGAUAAAUCACAAGGUGCAACCUAAUAUGCUCAUAGCCUCUUGCGUUUUCUGAACUGUCACAACAGCCACUAAACUACCAUGCCCAAAUUGCAGGGCAAUGAGUAACACGGCUAGGGUCACUCACACUCCUUUAUGCCUUAGUAUGCAAAGAAGAAUGCUUGAACUGGCACGGGGACUAUCAGCAAGGAUGCCACAUAUUCCCAUCUAUCAGGGUUUCAUGAGAAAAAAGACAAGAAGUGGAGAAAAUGUGGAGCUACCUUUAAUUUUUCUGCGCAUAUCCCCUGUUGUAUGUUAGGAUGGAUCCUCACCACAGAGGGAGAGAGAUGCAUAUACCAUCACUUGUAUGUGUGUGACAUGGGUGGAGGAAGGUGCAGUGAAAGAAAGAUGGUCCAGAAAAGAGUAAUACUGAGGACACUGUUAGAGCCAAGAAUGAAACUCAGAUUGGUAACAACAUGUAGGUGGUAAUAACAUGUUUUGGGCUCAAAGGGAAGCUGCAGACUUUAAGCAGAGAAGCUCCUCACUUUGCCUGAAUCAUUUUGUUUAGCAAUGAAUAGUGUCAGUGUUUCCAGCGUUUUGAUGAGUGUUGCUAUCUGAGAUUUGGAGAAGCUGACACCUCUGCAAAAUUAACCACAGCUAGAUUUAGCGCAUCCCAGUGUUUAAAUAAUACAAUAACAUUUUAUGAGCAACCACAGGUGUGGCUUCCAUGUAUGACUCGCACCAAAAAAAAAAAAAAAGUUUUGUGUGGAUGAAAAUAGGCAUUUUGGGCAGGGAUUAAGCAAGGCCAGAAUUACAAUGCCGGAUUGGGGGUGUGUGUGUGUGUGUGUGGCGGGGGAAAGGGUAACACCUCUUUCAGUCUAUACAAAGACUAAUCACAAUGUUACAAGGUAGAAUUCUUUACAAUUAUAUUUGAUCAAUAUUAAGUACAUAUGAUAUAAUUCAAACCAUGCACUAAAUUUCCAGUGGGAAUGACAGCUGAGAAACAACUGCCAAAAACACUCAUUCAGCUGCUAGGUUUUAUUAAUACUACCACUUUUAGAAAAUAUUUUCAGGAAAUUAACACAAUGCUUCCAGCAAAUGAGUCAGUUUUACAUGGAUCAGGCCUGUAGAAGACUGGCAGUUGAUACAAAAAGUAAAGACCCUAACAUCUUUUGCUAUCCUCUGUGUAAGCCUUUUCCUCUUGAAAUUUACUUGUGAGAGAUAGGCAUUUAUGUUGUGCUGCAAGUGCCAAAGGGCCAUGAUCCUUGUACUCCCAGUUGUCUUUGUAUAGCCACCUAUUGUCGCUUGUCUUAUACUUUGUUCCUGCGCCAGAAUGUAUAAACUGUCUUUUUGUUCUGUGUUUGUGCAUAAGCUAGCAUGGGACAGGAGCUGGGAUAGGGGUGUGUGUGCUCUAGGACUAGGACUUUCAUGCACUAUGGUAAUAAAAAUAAUUAUUAAUCCACUAGAAAGAAACACCCUGACCAAGCUCUGAGCCUGUGCAUAACCCAGAAUUCUUGACAAGGCUGCCUUGAUAUGUAUACCACAGGAAUCCGCCACCAGUUAGGGUGAAGACAUGCUGCCCAACCCCUGCACAUUCAAACCUGUGAUCAGAAGCUCUUGUCAAGGCAUCAUAUCUUGCUUGUGCAAGUCUUAUGUGCCAGUGGAUAAGCAGAAGAACCUCUGCGGCUGGAACCUGCAGAGCAGCCCCUGCAGCAGAGAGGCUGAUUACUCAUCUGGGUAGCUGGAAACAUGACUUGCAACCCAUGCAGGAUUUAUCCCUGAAAAUAUACAGGAAUCCUACAGUCGAGGAAUGUACACAAGAUUUCCUUGGCCAGUGCCCUCCUAAAUUUGCUACCUGUGAGAAGCAUUAAGCCAUGGCAUAGGUUCAGGGUACCUGGGGAAACGCCAACGCCACCGCCACCCCCCCCCCAUAAGGCUUUUUAAAGGGAAAGCGGUCAGAGCACUGGAAAGCAUGCUGUAUGGAACAAUCCUGUACGGUCCUUGAUGAAAUGGAAAAGGCCUAUUAGCUCACGCAGUUCAGCUCCAACGUCUAUACUUCAGUUGACCAACAAGAACGGCAGCAGCUCAGGAGAGAAAGCGUUUGCACUAUUAUGGAAAGACACCAGUGAUUGUAAAUUUAGAGUCGCACAGGCUUGUAGUGUGCAAUUCCUGUUAAAACCCAAAGAAGUUGGGUGACUAAAACCUUGCAAAACUUUGGGUGGGGGAGGGGGAGAGAGAAAGACAUGUGAAAGGAAGGUUAAUGAGUUUAGAUGCACAAAAAUCAGGAACUGCCCAAGCUUCUCAUUACUAUGCAAGGGUAACAGGCCCAUAUACAAAAACUGCCUCCAGCUUGGGAAGGAAAAGUGAUAUGGCUAGAUGAACAGGAGACAUGUCAGCUCAGAGGAUAAAGGACUUCUCUGCCUCCCCCAUCCCCAAAAAACAAAGUUAUAAGCACCUGAAAAUGAACGUAUUUCUGCCACCAUAGCAAAAGGUAUAUGACUACCAUGAAGGACACCAUGACAGGUUUCAGAGUAGCAGCCGUGUUAGUCUGUAUUCGCAAAAAGAAAAGGAGUACUUGUGGCACCUUAGAGACUAACACAUUUAUUACAGCAUAAGCUUUCGUGAGCUACAGCUCACUUUAUCAGAUGCAUUUGGACACCAUGUAACAGUAUAAUGUCAGCCUCUGACUCCACACUUUAAUUGCUUGAUUAAAAUUCAGCAUCCUUCUUAGCAAAAGUUAUUUCCCAGAGAUGUGAAGCUCAGAGGUUGGUAUGAUUACAUCAGUAGAAUACAAAGUUUUAACAGAGGAGGCAAAAGAGGGAACAGAUUUCUUUUUAGCCCGAUUGGCAGCAAAAAGGUUUCAGCACACUGGUGUUCAGUUCACCAUCUCCACUCAUGUUCUUUGCAAUAAAUCAGUACUGAGCAUCUAUGACUGGGAGUUCCUGCAAUACACAUAUUCUUCCCAGAAGAGGCCAUGGAACAUUUCUGGAAUUGGACUAUUUACUAUUAUUCAUGAAUGCAGUGAGGCAAAAAAGGAAAAACAGAACUUUUCCAGGGAAUGGACUGGAUUUUAUUAACCAUCUGAUAGCAUCAGAGUUUAAUGCAUUUAGCAUGAAGGUCUGAAAGAACCAGCCCGUAAUACUAUGUUAGGUCAGCUUGAAGAAUGACAACUUGCAAAGGACUGCUUUUUCUUUCACAGUGCUCAUCCUCUUACUAAAGAAAAUUAGUGGACAAUGAUUACUAGCAACUUAAAGCUCAGCAACUGCUCCAGCUUUACUCCAUCUAAAUAAAAUCUCUUGCCCCCCCUAUAAAAUAGAAUUACUGAUACCUGGGCUACCCCUCUCAUAAAGUAAGUUAAGGUCACUGUUAGUAUUAAGUCACUUAAGGUCAGUAUUAAGACCAAGUCUCUGUCCUGCGGAACUCAUAAGUCAAAAGAGAUAGCACAGCCAAAGAUUGGGAUGACACAAACGGCAGCAGUGUUAUGAGUGAACAGAAAUAUCUGCUUCUUAAUUUGAGUUUAACCUUGGUUUUGUAUUUUGUUCAUCCGAGAAACCUCUGCUGAGGGCAGAAUUAAGGCUCUCAGCCUUUCAGAAGCAGAGUGUUUUGAGGAGAGACUUGAAAGAGAAGGUGAAGGCAUGACCAACUGGGCUAGGGAGGGGUUUCCAGGAAUCUGGGGCCACGUGGAACAAGGCCUGGAGACAAGAGUGGGAGGAGGACACGAAGGGGAUGGUUAGUCAUGCAGCUUGGGUGGAACGGACAGGAUAAGGGGGCGAGGCAAAAGGAGAAACAUUUCUAGUGAAGCGACACCUAUUAGGCUACAGCAUGGCUGAUAAUCAGCACUGAAAACAGGCUGCAAUUUAGUGUUGCAGCUGGUUUGUCAGCUACUGUGGAAAGAUACUUGAGAACGUGUGGUGUGUUCAGGCACGUAAUUAAAUACAGCUCCACUUUAAUGACAGGCUGUAGCGGCAAUUCCUAAACUCAUACUCUGCCUGAGAGGAAUUCAAAAAAGCCCCAAUGCUCUUAUAGACUGUAUUAAACCCAAGCACAGAAAUACUGCUGAGAUGAUGUAUUCCAGUAGAUCUCAAACUAGCAGGGGAACAGGCUCACCUGGGUGGGUCCAGAGCAGACAAUAGGACUGGAAAAACAGGCAAGUGGUUACUUGAAAGCCACUUAACUUUCCUCUGGGCUUCCACAGCAACCCUCCCUGCAGAGGGCUCUAGGGACAGCACAAGCCCAGCGACCCACAUUUCUCUCCUUUACUCCACUGAUACUCAGUGAACCUGCAAGUACAUAUGCGACUGGCCUGAUGAUGGCACCAACAGCUCUGAGCAGAGUUAGAUGAGAUUAUGGUAAAGUCACCAUGCCACCAGAGCUACAGCAAUGGUGGACAUUUUUAAGAGAGCUUCAUGCAGAUGUAACCUAGAGGUCUCUCUAACCGUGAGAGAGAAAUAAUUAAGCUUUUGUUGCAAAAAUAAAAAGCCCUAGGUGUGGAAAUUCAGUGGAUAUGGAACCCCUAUAAACAUGGACCCUACUUAUCUUGAAAUAUCACUUAUCUACCUCACAGGGUUAUUUGGACUUACUAGCUAACACGCUUAGAUUACAAGAUCAUUAAGUCAGGGACUUUACCUGCACGUUUGUCUAUUCAUUGGUGCUAUGUACUUUCUCCAAUAUCUUUUCAGGGUUCAUGCACUAAGUAAGUAUUGUGUUGUAUAAACAAUGCUGCCAGCGUCUUUCCUAUUGAACAGAAAAAUUAGUUUGAGUAUAGAGUUGUACUUUAUUUCACCUAGAAAAAACAUCCCUUCCCCUACCUUCCCUCUGUCUACUUUUGGACUUUUUAGCCUCCGAGCUCUUCAGGUCAGGAACACUGCUGACCUCUUUUGUGUUUGCACAGUGCAUAGCACAUUGUGGGUGCUACCGGAAACAAUAAUCAAUAAUAAUAGGUUUACUAAUCUUGAUAGGCUGUGUAUCAUGAAUUUAUGGCACAUUUUAUUGGUCAAUAUGAUAAAUUAGAGACACACCCUAAAAUAGGCUGGCAAAGCUACACAAUGAAAUGAAACAAGAACAGAAGAUAGUAUGCAACAUGAAUGAGUAAACACUGCUGUAGGAACCUUAAGAUUAGAUCAAGAAUUGCAAAAGUUAACUGUGAAGCCUUAAAAUGUUGCAUUAACAUUGUUUGCAUUUAUGUAAAUUUUUCUUUUAGAAAAACCACACUGAAAACUAAAAUGCAUGAGACUACCACCAAAUAAAUCAAGAAACAUUACAUAUAUCAUA